GGAGCCUGGCUGCCCCUCCUGGAGCUCAGUUCAGGGCGGACUGCGACAGGGCAGGGGUUUGUUUCUGGAAGGUUCUCCGCUGCAGAGUGGGUUCUGCAGGUGAAUCCUUGGAGAUGGUCAGCUCGUGCUGGAAGUUGGUGGUGUCACUGUAUGAAUGAAGGUCAGUUCAGGAGCAGCUGCUGAUGGAAGGAAUGAAGUCCACGUUAAUGAGCUGAAGCAUCUCCUGAUUGCUGGAGAUUUUGUUGGAAUUUUAAAUCGCAUGGCAAGAAUUCGGACAGCAGCCUACGCUUACAAUCAAGUUGAGGUUUUAAACUGUGUGUGUGUCAGGUUAUUGUUGUUAGGUACUGUGAAAAAUACGAAGAGGAAUUAACUGCUGCAGAGACAUUUCAGUAAGGAGAAGUUGAUGCUUUAGAUGCGCCCUGCUGCCUGCUUUUGUUUUCACUCUGAAGCGCAGAGGGGUUGCCGGGUGUUCAUUACUGGCCAGUCUAGCUGCCGGAAUGUUGGGCCAGGUGCGUGACCUGCUGCAGCCAUCUUCCUCUGCUCUGCUAGUGGCUCUUCUGGAGUGACAGAAUCCAGCUGCAGUAACUGGAUUCCCGACUUCUGGAGUCCGCUCCCCCAUUUUGAUCCCCAGUAUUCCCCACUUGGACCCCCUUUAUGUCCCAUACCAGCCCUCCCCCCCCCCCUCCCUCCAU